AAAUUCCGCAAAAUAUUUCUGGACAAUUUUUUACAAAUUUUACCGGAUUGUAGGUCUCUAUUAAAGUCGAAUUCGUCAAUCGAGGCACGUUUGCGGCAUCAACUGCAUCAGAAAAGGAACUUAGAAUGAUAGGAUCUUCGAUUUGGGACAACAAAGCUGCAUUCUUGGUUUCCUAAUAUCUCUGGUAAUUGUCAAUUUCCUAUUUAGUUUGCGUUAAGCCAUCAGUCGUGUUAUUUAGGGACGUCUUUUAGAAGUACUUACACCUAAAAGGUUCUAGUACUGUGCAGAGCGACUGAGACCGCGAAACAACAACGGUUACAACAUUGAGCAAUUCAGUAAUGGUUAUGACACCGCACUGGCCAUCAUCCCAUCAACUUUAGAUAGUAAGCGGAAAGACUUUACCAUGCGAACGGGCCUGUCGCUCCGCAGGACCUUAGUUUCUUAUAAAAAAUAAUUGUGGAAGCCCAAUCAAAAGUCAGUUGAUAAAAGCAGGCCAUUGACACCUUCACCUCCACAUAUCAAGGAAGAACCACUAUACUUAGAAACUGCUUUGCAUACCUUAAUUUUAAUCAACAGACAUUUCCUUGUGGAGUCUUCAGAGAGAAGAUUUCUGCAACACGCCAGCAAUACUUUAGUGCUAAACAUAAAAUCCGUAUUUAAUGCAAAAUAGGUAUGAUAAGUCUAUGGUUUUGAUUAGUUUACAAGGUAUUCAGUGCAAAAAAUUAGCAUUCUCACUGCUGCAUCGUUUGUGCUAGGGACAGGGACAGUAAUACAAACAUGGGGAGAAACACCAGACACACCUGUCCAACUUGAAUACCCCUUGUCCAUCUUUGAAGUAAAAAUCAAAGCAAUAUUGUCUGCUUCAGAUUUUAUAUUGUAUCAUUUCCAAAGUGAAGUUCACUCUUGUAUUUUUAAAGUCAAAAUGAUUUGUAUAAACAGGCUGGAUCUUCUUUUUCAUAAAACUAAACAAGUAAUCCUUGAGAAACUUUCUCAGUUAUACCUGUCAAAUUUUGUUUCAACAUCUUCAAUUCACCUAGGUUGAUUUGUCUUUAUUUCUGUUUGCUUUAUGCUUCCAAGAGCAUCAAGCUAUUCCUAAGCUUAAGCUCUUUUGAGGUAAACCCUACUAGCAGCUAUCAUAUCAGCUAGAACUGUUUCACAGUCCUGGUAAUAUUUGGCAUGCACACGCCUCCACACACGCCUAAGACUCCUGAGGUGUGCUUUCUUUCCCAGGCACAGUUCCACGUUUUUAAUUACUAUUCUUUUUUGUUUUUGUUAAUUUCUUGCUUUAUUUUUUUAAAGUAAUUUCCAAUUUAUUUUGUGUGCAUUAUCUUGAUGGCAUUUGCGUUAGGGGGGGCAUUGUAACUUUUAAGGCAAAGGUGGAAAAAGUAUUGGAACCUGGGAACUUUUGUGCAAUUAUUUACACUCAUCAUCUCACAGAAAUCUCAACCAAUCACCAAAGUUUUUUUGGUAGCCGAGCUUUUGAGACAAACCAUGGUUCAGACUGAGAUUAUUAUAGGGACUGGCAUCUACUUUCAUGGAAAAUAUUUAUUGCACUAUGGCGUGAGCAGCAUUGAUCAUAAAUUGAUAUUAUAUGCUUGGUUCAAUUAAUUUGUUGCAUGUUAGGACUCCAUUAAAAUGCACCAUACAAUUCAAAUGAUUUUGCCCCUGACUCUUCUGAAACUAUGUUUGGAGAUUAUUGCAUGGAUUUUCCUUUUGAUUUUGGGUUUUCCAUCAUGAUGAUUGACUAAAUGAACCAAUUUCUGGUUACAGUUGAUUUCCCUUUUCUGUACAUUUAUGCAUUAAGUAAAGUCAUAUCUAAUAUGUUGAGUAAGGCCUACUCAGAGUUAGUUUCAUAUAAACAUGCCUUGAAUUUCUUCAGCUAAAUACAGUAUUGUAGUUACAAACAGAAAUUUUUUUGUCUACCCCUUAAAAUCUUGCAGAAAGUUUUGAGCUAGAUACUAAGCUUCCCAGAAAGAAAAAAGAGUUUUCAACCUCUGUUUUAAGGCCCAGUUUCCAUUACUCUGUUUUCAUAUGUCUCCCUUUUAUCAUAAAAUUUUCAUAUUUUCUUGAACACAUUACUCAGGGUCACCCUGUUUUGGUCAAAACAAUAAAAUGGGGAUUUCCAUUACUAUACUUUUAUCCCUUCUCAUUUCCUGUUUGAGCUCUUUGUGUAACUUAGAUUGAAUGACUUCAUUUUCAGAUGCCUCUGGCUUUCCUGUUCCCUAUAAAACAAAGUGUAUUAAAAUGAUGCGGUUCAAAAUGACUCCACUUUGAACAUCAUUUUUGAAUGGCUUCGGUUUGGUAUCAAAUGACUCUGUUUUUGUGCGUAUCAGUGGAACUUAAAAUCUAAACAGAUUAAUGGCAACAGUACCUAAAAUGAAAACCUUAUACGCUUGUUCAAACAAUGUUACACACCUUCUAAUACAUAUAUGACAAUUGAAAGGCUAUUAAGUCUUCAUAAAAAUCGUAAGAUCCCCAUUUUAUGGAUCGCAUGCCAUUGCCCGUCUAAGCUUUUUUAAGGUGUGCCAUUACCAGCAUUCCAACAAAUUUCAUAUUACCAGGACUGGUUUCUUAUGAUGUUUUCUUUAUUGUUUCAGUGACUUCCACAAGUCAAUCAGUUAUCAAUUUUUGUCCCCUGUCAAUAAAACAGAAAUAAUUCUCAAACAAUUUUUGGUGAUACAAGUUGAAUGUUCCAACAUUUUGUACUCUAAAGGAUGUCAGAAAAAAGCUUUAGUAUUUUUAAAAAUUCCCUUAUUUCAUUAUACUGAAUUGAAAGAAAGAAGUUCACAAGAAGUUAAUGAUUUGGGAAGAAGCUUACAUCAUAGGAGCUCUUUAGAUUUGUUGUUGCUCUGUCUCUUGUGGAUCUUUAAAGGGGAACUGAAGUGAAAAAUGAAAAUCAAUUAUUUAGUAGUUUUCAUCGUGCUGAUUUCGAAUAUCGACACGAAAUUAAUGUUUUUCUUUUCGUUUUCCUGCAUUCACCACGCGAAGUGUGAAAUUUCUCCAUUUCGGUGGCGGAGAGGUCUGGAGACAAGUUUCAGGCGCUGACGUAAAGUCGUGGACACGUGCCCCGAUCGCAACGAAAACAACAUUGUAGUAGGUAGUAGAGUGAAUCGGAGGGAGGGAAUUUGGUUAGUGGUUAGAAUUUCAGUUCGCAAUUUUCACGACAGCUCUUCAGGAAUGACAACAGACUUAAGAUCGAGCGACGAUGAAUUUGGAGCAUGUGGUGGUGAAGUACUUGCCCUACCAAGGGCGAACGGGAACUGCGAAAGUGGCGAUGAAGAUUAGCCUAGGCCCGAUGAGAUCCCAGAGGCUGAGGAUGAAUUAUCUCCCGCGACGUGCUCGUUUUGUCGGUAGAAAUGAGGAAGUAAAUCAAUGGUAUCUACAAACAGUGGCCGAUCAAUGGAUGGUUUGCUGGUUUUUGGGUAUUUGUGCUGGAAAAACUGGACAACUUUAAGUAUGAAUUUAUCACAAAAUGUAAAGAAAAGAACUUUAGUCAAAGAAGACAAGGGUUUCAAAAUUCUGCAGAGAGACAAUAAAAAUGCAAAACUCAGCUACCUACUACAUAUACAGUGGAGUACAGGGUUAUAUACAGGGGUUAUUCAAAGGGACCAGACUUUCAGUUCAUAAUAGCAAGAAGAGAAAUUUAGAACCAGUGGGGUCAUGUUAUAAGUUAGAAAUUUGUUAAAACUAGUGGAGAUUGAGCAAGGCUUGAUAUUUUCAAGAUUCCUAAGGUAUAUUUUUCAAGAUAUUUUACUCACAUCAAAAUGUGUAGAAUAGUUUGGAUUUGAUAAAGUUUUUCUCUUACAAUAAUGGUCCUGUACCACCUGCUUGGUAACAUUUUUUAUACAUAAUCAGAAGAAAAUGUUUUACCUUCA